AACGAACGCUGGCGGCAGGCCUAACACAUGCAAGUCGAACGAGAAGCCACCUUCGGGUGGUGGACAGUGGCAGACGGGUGAGUAACGCGUGGGAACGUGCCUUUCGGUUCGGGAUAACCCAGGGAAACUUGGGCUAAUACCGGAUACGCCCUCCGGGGGAAAGAUUCAUCGCCGAAAGAUCGGCCCGCGUCGGAUUAGCUAGUUGGUAGGGUAAUGGCCUACCAAGGCGACGAUCCGUAGCUGGUCUGAGAGGAUGACCAGCCACACUGGGACUGAGACACGGCCCAGACUCCUACGGGAGGCAGCAGUGGGGAAUAUUGGACAAUGGGCGAAAGCCUGAUCCAGCCAUGCCGCGUGGGUGAAGAAGGCCUUAGGGUUGUAAACCCCUUUCAGCGGGGAAGAUAAUGACGGUACCCGCAGAAGAAGUCCCGGCUAACUCCGUGCCAGCCGCCGCCGUAACAC
rnacentral:rRNA from 1 species